rnacentral:rRNA from 1 species
UGGGUCCAACCUCCCACCCAUGUUUAUUUUACCUUGUUGCUUCGGCGGGCCCGCCUUAACUGGCCGCCGGGGGGCUUACGUCCCCGGGCCCGCGCCCGCCGAAGACACCCUCGAACUCUGUCUGAAGAUUGUAGUCUGAGUGAAAAUAUAAAUUAUUUAAAACUUUCAACAACGGAUCUCUUGGUUCCGGCAUCGAUGAAGAACGCAGCGAAAUGCGAUACGUAAUGUGAAUUGCAAAUUCAGUGAAUCAUCGAGUCUUUGAACGCACAUUGCGCCCCCUGGUAUUCCGGGGGGCAUGCCUGUCCGAGCGUCAUUGCUGCCCUCAAGCCCGGCUUGUGUGUUGGGCCCCGUCCUCCGAUUCCGGGGGACGGGCCCGAAAGGCAGCGGCGGCACCGCGUCCGGUCCUCGAGCGUAUGGGGCUUUGUCACCCGCUCUGUAGGCCCGGCCGGCGCUUGCCGAUCAACCCAAAUUUUUAUCCUGGUUGACCUCGGAUCAGGUAGGGAUACCCGCUGAACUUAAGCAUAUCAAUAAGCGGAGGA